GGGCAGCGCAGCGGCACUCCGCCCAGGUCGGCCGCCUCCGCCCGCGGGCCGCGGAACGGCAGCUUCCGCCGGCGGCGGCGGAGCACGAAGGCGAAGAGCCCGGCGGCCACCAGCACGGCGGAGAAGAAGAGGACGAGGAGGCUGAGGAUGAGGACGGAGAGCGGCACGGCGGCGCCGGGCGGGGGCAGCUCGUCCUUGCCGUGGAAGUGGAAGGGGGUCUCGCAGGUGAUGUCCCCCACCAAGGCGGUGUAGGGGAUGCGCUCCAGCCAGCUCUUCAGCUGCACGAUCUCACACGUGCAGUUCCACGGGUUCUCCUCCAGCUGAAUCUCCAUCAGGCUCCUGCCAAUGUGGUCCAACAUCCCGCGAUAUUCCAGACUUUCCAAACCCAGGAAAGUGUCGUUUCUGAAAAUGUCCAAUUUGUUCUCGUGCAAAUACAACCUCUUCAGGACCCGGAGCCCAUUAAAAGCCCCCGUCUGAAUGUCCUGCAGUGCAUUGUUCCCAAGGUUAAUGGACACAGCGUUGUUUAAGUGAAGAAAACUGUUGGUGUACAAUUUCCUCAUGGAAUUCCUCUGCAGAUAAAGUUUAAAAGGUCUCGACCACGACUCUGUUAUCUGACUAAUAUUUAUAAAUCCCUUGUUGUCGCAAUGUAUAUGGAAAAGGCUCUCCUUCACUUCACAGUAGCAUGGAUCAAAGCAAGGCUCAUCCAGUUCCUCCGAGUCCUCUAUCAAGGGAAUGGGUGUAGUCCAUGCUAGAGCAAUUGUGCUUAGAAGAAUUAUCCACCACAUCCUUCCUCUGUGAAGCGUCUCUGCCGAGGAAGGUUUCAUCAUUUGUUGACGUUUACAAAACUGCAAUGGGAAACAAAAUGCAGAUUUUCAGUAUCCCUGUCCUGCCCCGCUCCGUGCACUGAGCCCCUACCUGCCAGGCUCCUGCAAAGUUCAGCAAUGCUUGGCUGGAUGUUCACAACACGCUCUAAGGGUGUCGGAUGCGCGAGCCUUGCCCUGAUUUAUACCUAAGAGAUGUUAGAGGUUUAAUCACGCGAUAUCAGCCUCCCUCCGCCCCCCGGGAAGUGCCACCUAUAUAACGAGGAGAGCACAUGCAGACCCUACAGCAACACGAGCACACAGCAGGACGUGUUGCGUCUCUGCAUGUGUUCCACCACGGCACCGGCGUUCACAACCACACAUCGUUGCUACUUGUUUGCGAGGCUUAGAGCCAUCAUAUCGCCCGCAUGGAUACAGAGAUAUCUCAUCGGUGGGAUUCUCUGCUGUCGCACUACAGCUCUCAAGUUGCCCAAGGAGGUUGUGGAUGCCCCAUCCCUGGAGGCAUUCAAGGCCAGGCUGGAUGUGGCUCUGGGCAGCCUGGUCUGCUGGUUGGCGACCCUGCACAUAGCAGGGGGUUGAAACUAGAUGAGUAUUGUGGUCCUUUUCAACCCAGGCCAUUCUAUGAUUCUCAUCCAUGCAAACUCCCAAAGUUACCGAAUUCCAGCCCUUCAAUCUCUCUCCCUGCCAGCUCCGUGCAUUCUGUAGGUGAGUUGGGAGGAAUGUGAGGUUUGCUGAUGUCCCUGCCAGAACGCUUCCCUUCCGGCACCCCCACAAUGUCUUUAAAGCAGCAAAUGGUUAAGAACCCUGAUCUAAAGGAAAACAUUCCCCGUCCAAACACAACCACAAAAUUAUUGCAGCUGGUAAAUUAUCAGAUAGAUACAUACCACAUAUUAGUCAUUUUAGCUGAUUAGAGCGUUUAGAGAUGAUUAAUCUUGCUAAAGCACAUGCCCAUGCGAUCAGCAGAUCUAAGGGGAAGUGACAGCUCGGAGGCAGCCAGGAUGGAGCGCUCAGCCUGCCUCGGGGUAGGCUGUUCUGUGCCCCAGCACCAAGCAGGAGACCCGGUUAGAAAGCUGAAAGUGGAAGAGAAAAUGCCUUGGCACUUACCAGCCGGUAAAUUAUCUAUCCUACUAUAUGCGCUUCCAAAUGAAGGCACCGUUCUUCUCCAAUCAGAUGAAAAUAAUACUGUACUAAUGAGAUGCAGCUCCUUCAACAUACGGUUUCCCCCAUCCUUCCACCCGAUAUUUUAAACGUAUGGGCACAGAGCAACGCUAAGGGCGGCGAGAAUAGCGGCAGUGAUGCAGCCUUCCUUGAAUCCCUGAAAUCCCAUUGGAAUUAUUCGGAGCGAUCAUUGCUUUUAGUCUUAAUCUCCCAACAGAAAAGGUCCUUUUUGCCUUCCACGCGUGAGAACUGGAACGUUUUGCCCCCCCGCCCCCCCCUCCCCGUCCCCAAACUUAAGAGCAGAAAGAUGCGUUUAGGGGAGAGAAAUGCCAAAGGAGAAGAAAUCCUUCGGAUCAACUUGCAAAUGAAGCCCUCCCCUGUGGGAAAGAGAUGGUCGGAAGCAUGAAAAGAGAAAUACCCUCUGCAAUUAAAGCCAGCAUCUAAUUGGGGAGAAGGGAGAGAGAUGAGAGCUCUAUUGCAGCAUCGGUCUCUCUGUCUCCUUUGCAAAAUAUUAGCCACUUAAGUUCUUUCUCCUCUGUAAUAAAAUUAAUAUAAUAAUAAUAAUAAUAUAAUAAAGAGGGUUAUUAUAUCUCCUUUUGGGGACAGGGGAUGUCUCUGACCCUACGCGGAAACAAAAGGAUCCAGAAAGCCGUACUUACCGGUCUGCAGGAGAGAUUUUAGCACAUCGUUACAGAAAAAAAAAAAGGGGGGGGGGGGAAAGAGGGGGGGAAAAAGCCCGAGUUUAAAGCUUGCUGUUCCCUCAGCCUCUCCCUCUGCCUCUCUCCCUCUCUCCACUCCUGCUGAAGCUGAGGCAAAAGGGAAAAAAAAAAAAAAAAAAAAAAAAGAACCGAGCCUGCGACGUGCUGGGAAUGCAAUGAGCCCCUCAAUGAUCUUCUUUAGGAUGCAGAGCUGCUGUUUGGCACACUCAAUGGAGGAGGGAGCGGAGGGGCUGCUGCAGGCUUCAGCCGCCGCCUUCACCGGGCAGCGCGGAGCGGGAGCGCCGGGGCGCGGCGGUGUCGGGUGCGCUCCUUCCCGGGUAUGUGCGGUGUGUGCAGUGCGUGUGUGUGUGUGUGUGUGUGUGUGUGUGUGUGUGUGCGUGGCGCUGCCCUGGAUCAGGCUUUUCCACGUCAUGAAAAUGAGCUUCAAGAAGGGGAACAAAUGGAGGGGGCGCGCUUGGCACCAGGUCGGGGGCGCGCAUUUGGGAAGCCCUGACUAUACAUUUUUUUUUUUUCCUUUCUGCCUUUUUUUUUUUUUUUUUUAAGAGGGAAGGAGGGGGGUGGUUGGCGGAGAGGAAGUGGGAAAUGAGCAGAUGGGGGAGGAAAAAAAAAGAGCAAGAAGAAUCAGAGAGGAAAAAGCCGCUGGAAUGGGUCACAAUUGGCAACCCCUUCUCUUUUAAAUAACAAUAAAAAUAAAAAUCCAACUCUGACGAAAAUCAGAGAUGUCCUGACUGCGGGGAUGCGGCGGGGAAGGCAGAGCUGUCCCGGCUCGGCCGCUCCGCCCCGCUCCGCUCUCCGCGCAGCGCCCGCUGCUCCCCGCGCUGCUGCCCGUCCCGCUGCGUCCGGCCCCGCAGCUUCUCCAGGACCCAGCAGCCUCCCUUCCUCCCUCCCUCCGAGGAAGCAAAGCCCAAAACCUGGCGGCGGAGGACACGCGGCACCUCUCGCAUCCUUCCUCUCGGUGCAAGACGGGGCGCGUUCCCAUGCGCGGAGUUUGCGCGGAGGCGAAGGGGCCGGCACCUGGCCGCCCCGGGGAACCGCAGGCAGACAACUGGAUGUGAGCCUUUCAGCGAGUACAUCACCUGCAGUGCAAAUAAAUGGAUCCUGUCUCCACAUCUGCAUUUACAUGGUGUGCAGCACCUGUAUUCAUACCGUGGUCCACCACAGCCAUCUACAGGUCAAUGCACAGGGAUUCCUCAGCAGACACAGACAUUUCAAUGAGAGAAGAUUGCUGUGAAGACCUGAAAAUUACUGAUGUAGUCUAAAGCAAGCCUAAUCUCUCCAGUAAAUUCACAUUCAUGGGACUUGAAAAGCAAUGAGUUGGGAGGGACCUUGGCUAGACAAGGGACAUCCAAGAUGUGGCCAAACGAGAAAUGGCAUCAGGAUGGUAUACAACUAUUUCUAUGUCCUGUGUUAAGACUGGAAAAACCAGCAGCUGCUUUGAAACUCGGUGAUCUGAUGAGAUGAAGGUCACUGAAAUUUCCUUCCUUUUCCCUCUGCUUUGGAAAUGACUUCUGUCUUAAGGCCCUGGAGGGUGAAGCUCUUCUAACUCAAGACAAAGGUUCUUCACAUGAGAGAUUAAUUCGUUUCCCCGUAAUUAAAUAAAGAACACUCUCUACGUGGCUAUAUAGAAUAAACUAAAAUGAAGAAAGAACGUGUUGUGGAAAAUAUGGAGAAGUACAACUAGAGAAGUGCAACGUACUUCAGCAGAAUCCAGGUUGCAUCAUGUUGUGCUCCACUACAUCAUGUUAGUAUAUAUGGCGGAGAAGGCAAAAUGCAGUAACAGGAUGUGACAGACAACACUUAGCAAAAAUAUUCACUUAUUUGACUCAGAUACUUGCUAUCAGUUUGAAUUGGGAUACAUGGUACCAAGCAAAGCUGACAGAUAGAAGCAAACUCAGCAAGGAACUCACCCCACGUAGAUCCAAAAGCUUCUUGUCUCAUACCCAGUACUCGCUCUCCUGGUGGUCACUGCUCUCCUCAGCUCUCCUCCUCACCAUUCCUUUCCUUGAUGUAAGUAGUUCUACCAGCUGGUUGUUGUUUCUUUUGAUAUAACACAUGAGCUCCCCAUGUGGGACUAAUCGCAUCCUGUUGUACUUAACGAGUUCCCUUAAAUGACAGUUGACGGAAAUGCCAUAAAUCAUUUUUAUAUGAGUGAAAUUGUGAAUUACACACAAAAAAAGAGUGCCUGGGCACUGUGCAUUUAUGUAUACAGAGGGACUAUUUCAGUUAACAAGAAGCUUAUUCUUGAAGGCACCUAUAUUUUAUACUGUGGCAAAGUCUUUCUGACAGACUUAAAAAUAUUGAGGGUCCUUUAUUGCUCUUAGAGGAAAUAUUUCAUGGCAAUACUUCUGAAAAAGGUUUAGCAAAGUAGUGAAUGCUCAUGUAAGUGAAUCAAGUAAUCCCCCAUAACAAGGCAGCUGAGGAGCAGGCCUUUCUUCACAAGAGUUUCCAAAAGCACUGAUCCUGACCUGGAUGAGGACUUCCAACCCACAGAGCACCUCUUGGACAGCCUUCAAACCAUGACGUGUUCUGUACAAUCUGUCCUAGCAGGAAUUAGGAUGGGAGAACUUCAUGCCAAGUAUCAACAGUGCCAGCAAAGGUGGCUCAAUGGCCUAAGGCCAAGCUGCUGAAGUGUGAGGAAAUUUGCACACGGACAUGAAGACUUCCCUCUUUCAAGAGGUGGAGCCAAAGAAAUAGGCCAAGCUACCACGUGUAGUAUCUGUAUCUCACCAAUACAGACCCAAUCCAGUCAAUCACAUGGCUACAACUUGAAGGAAAGGAAUAAGGAGAUACCAAUGAUUUGUAGGAUCAUGAAAAGAAAGCAAUGCAUGUCAAAACUUAAGUUUGUAUGAUGGCAGCAGGGUGCAAGAUCCAUGGUCCUUUGCUUCAUAGAGGAAAUUAAUUAGAACACAGAGGGAAGUGAUUAAAUGAUGCACCCAAGUAAUACAUGCACCCAUUUCAUGGCCUAGCACUCUCCUGCUUUUUCACACAUGUAUCAUCUCAUCAGAGCCCUAAAGGAAAACAGUGGAGGACCACAGCAGCCCAAAAUAGGCUCUCCAAAAUGCCACAAACAGGGGACUUCUCCUAGCAGCAGAGGACAGCUGAGAUCAACAAGGCUUUAUACAAAUGUUAGGGAAUAGAACAGAAGUAAAAGGACCCAUUCUUCACAAAGCCCACACACUCCCUGAGAAGCUGCUCAGCAAUGAGGAGGCCAUACUGGCAGCCAUGUCCUGAGGUAAUUCCUUUGUUGUGGUCCUGGACUGUGAUGAGAUCCAGGAAAAUUGGAAAGGUCAAUGGGAGGUGGGAGGACAGAGAGAGCAACACUGGGGGAGGCUGGAAGUGGCUGGGGUGCUGAUAUGAAGCCAUGAGUACGUUAAACUUGGUAUCCUCAUCCAGAACACAGCCCUUACCCAGUAAGCAUGCUCUGUGGUGUGUGCAUCUCUCUCUUGUGCUCAGUCUGGGUUGGAUCCUUCACCAGCCCAUUUCUCAUGUGCCAUAAUGCACACAGAAAUGCUGCUCCUUGUGCUUGAUCACACUGCUCCUUUGGUGGCUUUAAUUAAAGGGUUUCUGCCCAUCAGUGUCUGCAGAGGCCUCUUACCUUGUGCUUGCUUUUGGAGCCUGGUCCCGGGCACAGCAGUGCCAAGUGAAAAACCAUCCUCUGAGCAAGUGCUCUAUCCUCGUCUUACCUGCUGAAAAAGAAUUUAAAAAUGAUUAAAUAAUUAAUACUGGGUGUUGCUUAACACUUGUUAAGAGUCUUAGUUAAUAAUUUUCUGAAGCUUUUUUUUUUUCUAAUUUGGGAAUAAAACAGAUAUAAUUGAGCAUGUCAUUCCAAAGCAACAAAUAACACUGUGCAGAGAAUUGAAGGAAACAUGUUUCUUUGAUUAGGAUGUUUUUCUCAUUAACAGGAUGUUCAAAAUAAAGCAAAAAUAUUUGAUGCACAGAGCCGGUGGCAGUAUCAAGUUAACGCUGGCGUGCUCCUGCAUUUUACCUCAUGUUUACUAAUCAAUCAGAAAGGACUCUUGCUGCCAAGAAAGGUCACAUCUUUCAUCACAAAACUGAAACUCUUUGACAACAAACAAUCAGAACUUCACUGCUCUGUUUAAUGUGGAUUCCAGCACAGAAGACCCAGGCUGUGGGAUGGUGGGUGUGGGGUGAUGGGAACGUGCAGAGCUAUGAUUCUCAAAUGUUUGUUACUCCCUACUGUGAGUCUGGAUGUCACAAGCAAAAAUGUGCAUGUGUUAAAAGCUCUUGAAAGAGCUGGGGUGUAAUUGGCUGAACAUGAACGCUGUUUUUGCUAUUUUCUUUUCCCUCUGCUGGCUGCCUAGGCAUUAGCAUCUCCAAGGAGUCUUCUGGGCAGUGACAAUAGUGGGAUGCAGACCCAAGCUGGCCUGGAUUUACACCCUUGGUCCCCUGGAGAAAUCAUUGGGUGGUUGUUUAAAGCUGGUACAGCAUUGAAUACAGCAGAGGAGCCUUGACCUUUAUUUGUAAGCAUGGAAAUAAGGUAAGGAUGAAAGAUUGCUUUUCCUCCAGCUCAUAGGCAGGGAUCAGGAGGCCCUCCAGAGAAGCAGGGAGGUGGAAAGUCCCCAUUCAAUUUCUCUCCUCGCCUCCUUUCCCGUGCUGGCAGCAGAGGCCAGUAGUGCUAUGCAGAAGCCGUGCUCUACGGCAGCGAGAGGUGAAGGGAAGAAUCGCACAUGUUGCAGCUCCCUCGGGCUGCUGGAAGUAUAAGCAGUGAAUCAGCAGGGCUGAGGACCUGGCUGUUUUGACCCCAGCCCAGCUCUUUUUAGUCAAUUAGUUUAAGGCAAAUCCUUCCCUGGGGCUGGACACAGACACAAGCUCACCUGGUGCUUCAUGCUGUGCUGAUGCAACGAUGUAAGGUAUCGAUGUUCAUGGGCUACCUGAGGGCAAGAGUUGUGAGUGGUGCUGCAAUCUCUGCUGCUCGCAUUAUGACUCAGUGGUACCAAUAGGAUCUGUGUAGUGCAUCAGGGGAAGAAAGAGGACCCCUAACCCGAGGAAAUACAGGUAAUCUUAGAAUAGUCUUAUUUCCAUUAAAGGUGAUUUCAUCUAGAGUGUGCUGAGUGGCAAAUUUACCCAGGAGGUUUAACUUGCUUCUCUGUCUUCACAUUUUCAGAAGUUUAAUUUUAGUAAAUUUGUACUGUGCUCAAAAUAAACCAAGAGGUAGUUCCACAAACGGGUUCAAAUGCAGGAACUGCUGUUGUGAUGGAGCUCUGGAUGUCCCUUUCAGUACCAUCACCUGGCAUUUGAAAGCUUGUCAUGGUGCGUAUCAACCCUCAGGAGAUCUUCUGAUCUCCCCACGUUAUCACAGCUUCACACUGAAGUGGGUUCAUUGGAGAUACAGCACUGAAUGCAUUCUGCAUGCCAGACCCACAAAAUGUAGGCAGCGAUUGUACUGCUUCUUGUAUGUGGUGCUGCAUUCACCCUACACAGUCAUUCCAUUCGCCAGCCCCCCUUUUCUGGCAGAAGUCAUUGCUGGAUCCCUGAAGUCCAGUGAAUUUGAAGAUCCACCAGGUCAUUAUCAUCUGUGGGCUGGAAAAGCUCCUUUUGGGAUAUUAAACAAUUAAAAGAGGGAAACCCUCCCCACACAAACCCAUCCCACAGCUCCCAACCUCCAUAGGCACAGUGCUGGCCUACCCAGCUGGCAGAGGGCCACGCUGUGUUGAGGGCGCAAACUUGGGUGAGGAUGCUGAGGAUCUGGUUGCCACUUCAGCCAAGAAAUGAAGAAGGAUUCACAGCACUUCUGUGGUGCAUUCUGGGUCUGUCUGCAUUUUCAAAGCAAAAAUUUAAUCACGCAAAUAUUUACAGAAAUUUGAGAAAAAAAUAAAGACCAGUGAAAGCCGCCGCAGUGAACUUCUAAUUACAAAUCCACCAAGUGUUUAUGAAUAAAUUUAUCUAUUAUUUGUCUUGCUCUAGCACUGCGCAUACUUUGCCUUGUACCAUUACAGUCUGAAGGAAACAAUAUGCGGCAUGAAAAUGAAAACAAUUUGACUUAAUUAUUUAUACUAUUACCACCCUUUUGAAUUAAGCCCUCUAUUUCUUUGGUAUUUUGUAAAAUUUAACUGGUAAUUAUGCUUGUUUAAUUCAUUUAUUUCUCUAUAAAAAAAAAAAAAAAGAAAAGAAAAAACCCUACCAGAAUGCAAAGUGCCACUAUGUUCUCAAAUUAUAAAUGAUUCUUUUAAGCUUUUAUGACAAAAAAAAAAUGUAGUAUUUUCUAUCACUUUGUUUAAAGCGUGUCUGGCUACGCUCCAACACUAUUUAAGUAUAAACAGGAAAAGCCUUGGAGGACAAGUAAUCAUACUUAAAUGACACAAAGAUCAUUAAAAUAAUGCUCAAAAACCACGGCAAAAUGAGACAUUGCAAGGCUGUUUUCUUCCUUGGAGUGUUUCACCAGAUGGUGAAGAGUGCUGAAAUAGAUUCGAGAGAGAAGCAAAGAGCAUUUCAUCAGCUGUCUCACACCAGUGCCGUGCAGCGCACACAGCCCUCAUCUGAGCUGGUGUGAAGUGGCAUCAUCUCCUACCUCAGCCUCACCCAGCACUGAGAUAGGGAGAACACCGAGGUGCUGGAAUGAAGCUGUGCUGAAUCAUGGCCUGGGAAAUCCCUGCUUUGUCCUAUGGAAGUCACCGAGCAGAUUUAUUCGGAGAUGAGAACAAAUGAGCACGUCAGCAGAAGUUAUUGUGGCAAUUUGUGAAAGCCUUAAUGGAAUGUUUUCUGAGCUCACAGAGAAGAGCUGUGCCAUUAAAUUGCUGCACAAUAAUUUUACUUUGAUACUGGAAAGGCAUUUUGUUUUUUUUUUAAUCAGAAAUGACAGCCUACAUCAGUGGUGACGCGUCAGCUACUGGUGUUUAAAUACAAGGGUCUCAGAAGUCAAUCUUCACUCACAUAAAGGAAAAAAAAAUCAUAUUUCUAUACAUAUAGUUGCUGUAUGAAAUAUCUAAAAGUGAGAUACCUUUGCACUUUUAUCAGUGUCUCCAUUCUUGGCUGAAGAACUUUACAAAGACCUGUGGGAUUUGUAUUUCUUCCAAUGACAUUACCUUUUUGCAAACUUUGUCAGAAAUAUCAACAUAAUUUCUAAUUAAUAAUAAUAAUAAUAAAACUCUCUUAAAUUUUGUAGCUUAAAUAUAUACUGGAAAUCCUUUCCUCUUGGCUAGAGGCUUCUACUUUUAGGAACGUUGGUGAUCAAAAUGAGUGCUACUCAUCCAUCUGCGUUCUCCUGAACGUUUAAUCUCUGCAUUACAUGUAUUUUGUGGAAUCCUUAAAUGUACAAGACAAAGUAUUUGGAGGUCCUGAAAUCUUCACUGGGUUCUGCUAGCCUGUUACCAACCUGGCUCUUCCUAGAUCCCAAUGGAAAGGCCUGCUGUGCUCUAGGAGGUAGCCUUAACUGUACCAGAGCUGCAAAACCACAAUAGGCAGAAGAGGUGCCCUCUGAAAGAGAGGAUUUCAUAUCAGCUGAGUACAAGCAGCUGAGCCAAGCAGUUGGCAGAAGGAUGUCAGUGUAUUUCCAAGCUCCCUACCUUCCAGAAAGGUUGGGUUUCUCAACUGCUUCCUAACCAACAUGCCUGGCAAAACCAGAUCCACAGGAAAACUCAUCUUUUGUAGAUAAAUCAGCCUGAAAUGGAAGGUGACUUCAUUUCCAAUUGGCAGGCAUUCUGGUUCCAUGCUGUGCAAGGAAACAGCCUCUCUAUAUUACAAGUGUCUUUGCAAUGAGUAAUCCUAAUGUCCUAAUAACAUCUUAUGCACAGCUCUUGAUAUACUUCCAUUAUAUAGAUCUAGCAACAAAAAAUGAAAUAAAAUCCCCCAACACUAUCAAUAUCUCCACACUCAACGGGUGCUCAGAAGAGGACCUUGCAAACUGGAAAGGAUGAAUUUAAUUUUUGCAGUUCUUUUGCAAAGACCAGUUUGCAUCCAGCUUAUGCACUUAAGUAAAAAAGCCUGUGUGUGGAGAGUUCUCACCAGUCUGUGUUAAAUGAGUUGCUGAUUUUAGCCCCCUUCCUUGAAGACAACUGACCAUUAGAUACACGGAUACUGUAGGUGACAUUAACUCUGCCAUCAUCCUCAGGCAGCGGCACUGGGUCGGGAUGCAGAGUGUCCCAAAAUCUUACAAAUGGACUGUACCUCCAAAUGGCUGUGAUUGAUCCUCAAUGUUAUUUCCAAGCCAAAUAAUCUGGGAAAUCUGGGUGUUGGGAGCAAUUUGUGCCUCAGUUUCUCAUCUGUAAAACAGCAAUACAAGGACAUUUAGAAAACUUAUUUUUUUGCCCUAAAAUGGAUUCUUUUAUUUCUAGAAGGGUCCUUGGAGGAAUAUCAGGUCUUUCUGAUAGUUAUUUUCCAAAGAAAACCUAGCAAGAGCUGAUAGUUUCUGUCUUCAGCCAGGAAGCGGCUUUCUUCCUUGGUUUUAACUUAGUUAUGCCACCUGAACAGUGGCACGGAGGCCUCAAUGAGGAUCCUUGCUUUAUACUCAGAGAAGUCUCUGCGUUUGCACUGACUGCCAGAAGCUGCAGAUCUGGGGACUACAGCGCCAGUGAGGAGUUCUUCAAACUUGGCAAGAGUCCCAUUGUACAUUUAUUUUAUAUUCUACCUAAAUUCCAGGCAAAAUACCAUUUCUUGUACUUAAAUACUAAUGGUUUUGAGAGACGAUAAAAGCUUGAAUCAUACAGCAGGCAUAUCGAAUUCAAAUCUUUGAACGUGUUAUGCUGCUGAGAGCUCUGUCCCCAGUAGCUGGCAGAGGUUGCUCUGAUGUUAAUGAUUAAUCAGGGAACUUAUUUUCAGUAAUAAAGCACAAAUAUUUAAAUGAUUAAAUGACCUACGAGCCAGCAUUAUGAGGAAUGUGUUACAUGUGAGCAGCCUGCAAAGCAGCACUUCCCAGCUCAUGGACAACACAGUGCCCGCUGAGCAAUGCCAGCACCUCUCUUGGCCACUACUGCUUCUCAGGAGGUGGUGGAAACUGGGAUUCCUCCUUGAGUAUAUAAACUGUGUCACGCCAGCCUUUAAAAAUCAGGUUGCUUUUUUUUUUUUCUCCAGUGAGGAGUCCUGUUGAUUUUAAUUGGAUACUUGAGUUAAAAUAAGAGAUACAGCUUCUUUGCAUUUAUUUACUGAGUCUUUUUUUUUUUCACUUUUCCAGCUAUUAAUUUCCUUAAAUGUAAAGUGACAUCUUUAAAAUGAAAAUGGCUUAUUGCUUGCCAGGAGCAAAGCCUGCCUAAUUUAAGAAAUUCAGAAUUAAAGCUUUUGAAGCAUAUCAGGGAGUGUUUAUACAACAAUUAUUGCAAACAUCAGCCCUGCUCAUUGCAGCCUCUUCAGGCCACCACCAAUGCCUCUAACUUCAUUGCCAACCUUCCCCACCCCAAGAUGUUUCAUCAGUUGCAUAAAAUCAGGUCAUUCUAUGAUUUUAUCCUUCUUAUCACCCCCCAAGCACUCAAACCCAAACCCAACCAACCAAUUGUUUAAAAUUAAGUAGUAGACUCAUUAUUAAUAACUGAUAGCAGAUGAAGGAGUGCAGUGACCUCUCCAACAGAGCAUUUAAAUCUUUGCACUACACGCUCUGCUUGUGCUAGGCUGGUUUCACAAACAACAGCUGUGUAGUUCGUUAGCAUAUGAAUCCCCCUGAGGUAAUUUGGAGGAGGCAAAUGUGCUAAACUAAACACCUCAUUAAAGCAGCACUUUAAAAAACAAAACAACAACAACAAAAAAAAUUCCACCCGAGCCCCAAACUAAUUUCGUGUUCCACUUUUGCUUGUGGAGGUGCUUGGUGGUGAAUAUUCUGUUGUAUGGAAUUCAUUCAUCUGGGUUGCUGGAAAUAGGGGGUUUUUAAAUCACUAAUACGGGCUUUUCUCAGCUAAGAUGCACUUGAGACUAAAGUGUCUUUGAAGAGUGUUCUGUCACAAAGAAGCAAUUAACUGAGGACAAUAAUGUUUUCUUUUUCUCCCAGUCACUAAGCUGAACUCAUGGGCCCCAGGAUUGUACUCAAAUAGCAGGACCUGUUUCUGCUGGGGCUGAAGAGUGAGUGGAUGAGGCCAAAGGCUCUUGGUGGUCCCCAAGAGCAUAUCUGCAGAGGGUUUUGGAUGGGGCCAAGAAGAAGUGCUCACAAGUGUCCCCAGGACCACUGCAUCCCCCAGGAGAAUCUUGCAGAUAUUUUCAGGAAAUUCCUUUAUAACAAAUACGGCUACCAGAGGAACUGGUUGCAAGUCCAGGCAAAUGAUGUAGGACAUUCAUGAUGGUAUUAGCGUUGCUCUUCCUUCCCUUGGUCACACAGGCUGCAGGGUACUCAAACUUCAGUCCUAUUUUGGCACCACAAACAACUUUUCAUCCUACUUCAUCUCUACUAAUUUAUUAAAUCCUGAGUGAGACUGCAAGUCCAUUAAAAUAUUUAAAUGCUGUUUCACAUUUUGAUAAUGAUUUAAAAAACAAAUAAUGGGGAACUUUUUGUUCUUAGAAUCUUAUGGAACAACAGCACUUAUUCUAGCAGAAAAUGACAUUCUAAAUCUGAAUGGAUAACCUUUGCCCAGUGAGGUUGUGCAUACCCCCGCCCUGGAAGCAUUCAAGCCAGGUUGGAUGGGAUUUUGAGUAACCUGGUGUAGAGGGAGGUGUCCCUGCUAUAAGAGGGGGGUUGGAACUAGAUGAUCUUAAAGGCCCCUUCCAACCCAAACUAUUCUAUGAAGUUAAAACAUUAGACCUGCUGGAUUGUGUGGUUUCAUCCAAAAAGCUCAUCUUACUGUUUCAUCCCAAUCUAUUUCAUUUUUCAAAUGUCAGAUAAGACGUUAAGAAGCUAGAAGUGGUAGUUUAGAACUACCAUAACAAUGAUUUAACAUGGAUAAAUGCAACAUAAACUGUACAACGUCGUCAUGUAUGUACACUCCAUAGUUUCUAUCUUCUCUUUUGAAUGUUUUGAUCCUGAAACAAAAGUAGGGAAUCUGAGUUUUGGGAGGAGUAAAAAGUAUCCCUGACCUACAAUCUUAUUUUCAAAGCAUGGCUUGGUAACCUCUUGGAAUUUCCUCAAGGUUUUGUAAAUAUUCUGCUGAGUUCUUUCAAGGUGUUAAUAUGUCAUCCAAAAACCAGAAAGUACUAUUUAUUCUCCACAGGACUCAAUCCAUUCUUCUUCGAAAUCCUGCAGGUAACCAGCUCCCCCCUAGGGUAAUCUCUCAUACUUCAGUAGGCACAUAAGUAUGUGUUAAUUUAGUCAGAAUUAGUGUUUCUUCUCCUUUCCUUCUCCCCUUCCCUUUCCACUUUUCCUGCUCUCUUUCCUUUUUUUCCUCCCCUUCCUUUUCCCUUUCCUUUCCUUAAAUUUUGUUUGCUAUGUUGCUGCCAGGCUUUGGACAAGUGAAGCCUGAAAAAAUCUAUUCCCUCUCUCAGUUUUGUAGGUAAACCCAUGGCUUGGGGAUUUUUAUAGGCACACUGAAUACAGAACUUCUACAUGUAAAAUUAUAUCCACAUUUUCAUCCCCUGUCCAUGUUUUCCUUGCAUGUUUUCAGUGCAAUUAUAUCUUUAAUAAUGGUGUAAUUGCAGAAAUCUUGCAGAAAAUACAAGACUUUAAGCAUUGCAACUGCAAUGUAGAUUUUUAUACUACAGAUUUAUUGGUGAAUAUUUUCUGUUGCAUUUGCAUAAAUACUAUUCCAGAAUAACAAGGUUUCAAAAUAUUUCUCUGUUUCAUUUAACUGGAAGGUCUGUGAUAUAGAGUUAUUUCAGAGAAUCAUAGGAUGUCUUGAGUUGGAAGGGACCCCAAGGAUCAUCAAGCUCCAACCACCCUGCCGCAGGCAGGGCUGCUAACCUCCAUAUCUAAUACUAGACCAGGCUGCCCAGGGCCCCAUCCAACCUGGCCUUGCACACCUCCAGGGAUUUCAUCUAAGAAUGCUUGUUUUUUAUUAUAUCUCUCUUUCAUUAUUACUUUUUUUUUUUUUUAAUGAAUAUAGUCCCCAGAAAACAGAUACAGACGACAAUAGUGAUCUUUGUGAAGAAGCAGCUUUGAAGCCCCCUUUAUUUACCAGAAAACUAUCAUUCCAGAUCCUAAUAAAGCUCAGAGAUUCAGCUGAGCUCGCUGUACUGCAGCAAGCUUAAAUCACAGCUGAAGUGAAAAGAGAGAUUCAGAUUAUGUACUUCCAGAGAAGUGCCCAAGCUCACAGCAGUAAAUAAACACACCUACAAGAGAGGACAGUUUUUCUCCACUCAGCGUAUCCCCAGAUUUCCUUCUUCACUGCUACGUUACCCAUGUGGCAGAUCAGGGCAGAAUCACAAAAAAUUCCUACAUUUUUCUUGUGCCAUAAUAUCACCUCCACUUAUUCCUGUACCUGAUCACUUGUGAUUAAGGCCGAUGAGGAAGACUAGUUUCAAGGGAUGCAGAAAGUUUAGUCGUCCACACAAAACCAUAACGACUCUUCAUUUGUUUUAUACCCCAAGGACAGAUUUCUGCCUGUAGUCAGCAGCACUGAAGCACAUCUUACUCUCAACUGAUGGACUAAUCUGACUCUCUGAGCUACCUUGCCUUGCUCUGAAAACUGAGAUUGCAUGGGAAGAGUUUCUACCAUCUCCUGUACUUAACCAUGAUUCUCCCAACUCAUGUCACACCAAAUUUAACCGUCAACUCUAAGUAAAAUGGAUUAAAAGUCUCCGGAGAGUGAUGAUCUUCUAGAGGGAGAGGCUCCAGUGACUUUUGGAUUGCCAAAAAGAUGAAGACUUUUUUUGCCUCUUAUGAAAUUUGAAAAGAUCACCACUUUAUCUUAGGGCCAGGUCGUUUAAUUACAACGAUUUACCACUGAUAUUAAAACCAAACGUGAUAAUUAUUAAGAAAUAACUAGCAAUUAAUAAAUGUAUUUUUAAAAUAACUAUGACCUUUCACCUUACAGAUCCAGAUUUAAUUAUUGGAAUACUUCCAUCUUUAGAAGAUUAAAAAUAUCAUUUUUCUGGUAGUCAGUAAGAUCCACUGUAUUGCCCAUAAAGAGCCAUGUCUCUGUUACUCAUUAAAUAGAAGUUUUAAAGAGUUUUUAAUUAAGGGAUGAACAAGUAAAUUCAGCCCAUAAGACAAGCAGGACAUGUAUAUGUGGAAUAAAACAAUAAAUAAAGAGAGGAUUAAAUACUUCCAAGUUGUUCAAUGAUGAAUUAAACAAAAGUCCAAAUACAAGAUUUCCUCACCCUUCCUGCUCAAGAUUUAUACCACUAAUCAGCCAAGUUUCAAAUCCUUAAUACAGUAAAGCAUUUGCCUUUAAGGCAGCAGCAAUUCAAGAUUGCUAGCAAAAUGAAUGUAUUUCCAUUAGGCAAAAUAAUUAGGUCAUAUAUUCUAACAGUAUCUUUGGACUUAAAUCUCUUUGGUGAAGGGAACUGUCAAUCACCUACAAUUCGAUCAACAAUCUUGGUCAGAAACCACCCCAUAUGUGGAAAGAAAAUUACAAGUGACUUUUCUGUCCCUUGCAUUUAUUCAAGGUCAUUCAUAAAAAAUAACAGUGAAAUGACAGGUUACAUUUUGUCCUACAAAUCUGGUGCUUUUUGAGGAAUAUAUUUGAAUACUACUUUAUGUUUAUUAAAGCCAGUAUGAGUACCUAUGCAAAUUAAAACUCUUCAAAUCUCCACAUCAGAAUGAACUCAUGCAUUUUAGUACAACUUUUCAGGGUGUUGCAGGUUUGUAAUUGUGAGCACAGUAAAUCUUUACAGUCCAUGAUUACUUGGCUGUUGACUUUGAAGUCCUCAGUGCGCAAGAGAUAUGCUUACAGAACAAACACUGAGCAUUUCUGCUUGGGCAUUCUUCAGAAUCCUUCCCUAGACAGAAGCUUAGCAGAAAGGGAGGGGAUCCAUUUAUUGCCUGGCUGGUGGGAUGGGGCAUUUGAAAAGACAAGGUGUGCCUAAUUGAACAGAAAUUUGCAAUUACUUAGAAUAAAACCCCACCUCAUGCAACUAGGCACUUUAAAAUGUAUAGCUGUUAAUAUGCUUCUGCACAUCUCACUUGGAGAGUGAGCCUCAAUCCUUUAGACACUUGAGCUCAUUUUGCCACAUUUAUAAACCAUGUCAGGGGGUUGUAGCUAAUUAGGGCCUGGCCUUGCAUCUCAUCAGAGGAUAUCACCUGCCGGUGACCCCCAAGCACCACUCUGAGCACCAGUGGUGUUGGGGUGAGAUCUGAAUGGCACACAUGAGAAGGGAAGUAUGAGGGAGGGCUGAGAAAACAUGCAGAACCACUGACUUCUGUACAGGCCUCUGUGCACAGAGUGGCCAAUUAGCUAAUCACUAUUUUGCCUUCCUAUCAGAGCGGUAAAUGGAGUCACUGCAGAAUUGUUGGUGACUAAGCCAAUGAGCACAGCUGAGCCACUGACGGACACUGAACUCUCAAAUAUCAGGGUCAUAAAACAAGGUUUUACCUUGGCUGUUGCGGUUGUAAAGCGCUGUUUGAAGAUGGCAAAUCCCCCUCUUGUUGCUGUCACAGUUCUGUUCUUCCGAUCUUCAAAUUGCAGCCUGCACAUCGCCCUCCUGUGCAAGUCCAUAGGCCAUGACCCACAGCUGCUUCUGCAGUCCCACUGCUAUAGCUGCAUCAAGUAGGAAUACCAUAGGAGAUUAAUAUAACCAUAAUCACAGCUGUAAUUGCCCAUACAGGCUUGGUUAAAGCUAAUAACAGUGUGCCUACCUCUGGUGAAAUCACAUCUUCAUUUUCCUGCAGAGGCACACUUGGACAUAUUCGUACAACGAAGUCCUGGGGUGUGGGCUGCUUUGCAACAUAGAGCUGUGCUAGGUAGAAUGAUCAGUGAGCAAAAAAGAAUGCAUAAGGAAAAUCCAUCAUGUGCUCUAUCAAGUUAUCAGGAGAUUUGUGCAGAAAAGCAAACCCGUGAUGUGGCCUCCCCAUCUAGCUCUGGACUAUUUACCCUGCUGAUGAGAAAAGGCUAUUAAAUACAGAGCCUGAUAUUCUGUUACUAAUAGGGAUCCCACUUAUCUAAUUGAAAGGAAAUUGUGGGAAAGCACCACUAGAGGUCACUCAAAAUUAAUUGUUACCCAAUUAGCACAAUUUGACCCUAAAGUUCAAGACGCUCUACAGCUUUCUUGUUUAAAGUACUAUCAAUUUUGACUCUUGACUGUGAGAAAACUCAGAACAGUUGGAGACAGAAAAUGUUUUAUCAGUUCUCCCCUCAUUCAAAGGUUCCUAAAUUAGCUUUGCCUUUCUCUCUGCCAGCAGCAAAUCAUUUCUUUCUCAGCAAUGAGCUUACAGAUGCUGGCAGUGAUGGACCUCUAGAAGCAUUGUUUUUAGAGGAAUUCAGACCUACCUGUGUUAUCUCAAGCACCUGGUCACCCAUUUUGAAAAUUAGACCAAAAUGAAUUGUACAAGUGAGGGAAUAUAUAGGAAAACAAAACAAAACAAACAAACAAAAAAAAAACAACAAAAAACAACAAAAACCUUUCCAAGAUAAAAGCCUUUUCUUUUUUUUUUUUUUCUUUUUUUUUUUAGAUAUACAUAUACAUAGAAAAUUAUAACCACUGUUGCAUGGAAGAAUGAGUACAUGUUUUUAUAACAACUGCUUGACUAAGUAAAAGAGGUUAAAAGCAAAGUUAACGUUUGAUUAAUGGGUAUGUGUUGAAAUAUCUCUGCGUGUAUUUAAUUAAAAGCAGAUGUUCUAUUUGCAGGGCUUUUGCCAUAAUCUGUGGUAAUGAUGAUAGCAAUUUAUUUGCCAAACCCAACAGGAAAAGCAAUAUCUAAUUAGUGUGCUCUAUAAGAUUAAGCCUACUAACCACUGGUGCACAUGCAUACAUCUCCUGAUGUUAUCAGGAGUCCUCCCAGUGCUCAGUAUGUAAUUCAUGGUCCUACAUAGACCAGAGUGAGGAAACAUUCCCUUCCAGUGCAGCUUGGUGUGGGAAAACUCAUGGGCAGCCACACUUCCAUGAAUGAUGCUCUAUCAGUGCUCUUAUUUCAUUCCUCAUUUCAGGUUACUGAUGAUCCUCUUAUUCUCCCCACCCCUCACUUUCAGCUUAAUGGAUAAAGGGGAGGAUUAGCUACUCAGCUUAUCAAUAUGUAUGAACAUGACAAUAGGAAAGAUUGUGGUAGUUUCUUGAAAUAUCCUUUAAUAACCUCACAAGGCCAGCCAAGGAAGGAUGCAUGGCAUCAGUGCAGCUGCAGAAAAAAACGCUAAAGCAUCAUAACAUGGGCAAGUAAUUUAUGAGGCUCUAGUCUCCUAAUUGUUUCAUCAAGGUGAUAAAUAAAUAAAUAGAUCAUCAGCAUCUGAAGAGCUGUAUGGCUUCCUUCUCUGCUUUCUAGAGAGAUUAAUCUUGCAGAGGUAGAAAGACAGUUUGCCACAAAAUCAUACUCAUAGGCUCAACAAAUGGAAUUUGGAUGUAAUUAUCAUUUUUUAAAAUGGUGAGCCACCAUCUAUCUACUUUUCUGCACAGCAAGACAGUGAAGUCAAGGAAAAUUACUCUGCAUUUAUUCUCUCCCUUAAAAUCUGUAGCAACUGAAUAAUAAGAGCUACUGCUUCAAGGUGUUCAAAUAUCCCAGGCUUCCCUCAUCUGCACAUACUGCUUCUGUGCUGGUGGCAGUGAAAGUCUUGCAACAUUCAGUCACACCUGCCUAUUCAUCAGGACAAAUUUCACUGUUUGGUGGCCACAUUACUCCCUCUCCCGUAGUACUUAGCUGGGCUUGGACUACGCAGUUAGUCCUCACCACAAAGAUUCAAGAUACUCAUGUGUUCUUGUUAUAAAAGGGGACAGAUACAGAGAAAUAAGGGCUGUUUUACAGAAAUCCUAACUAAAACCCAACAUUAUCAGAGCUUUCCCUUCAGAAAACCUCUGCCGUUGGAACUCUUCCUCUAAAAUGAGUAAAAGUGCCAUUGAAUAUAGUCACUUACUCUUGAACGUGCACAGAAAACAUUACUGAGUGCUUCUCAUGCAACAAAGCAUACAUUUUGAAAAUCACAGAAAAAUAAGACAGCGAGCAGCUGAAGCUGUAAGGCUGAGGCAGAGAAAUGGAGGGAAAGAAAACACACUGAAGAAGAGACAGAGUUACUACAGAAGGCCAACAGCUAAAGAUUCUUACUAGAAAAAAUGAAAAUCAGGUGGGCUCAGGUAGAGAGCCCUUUCCUUUCAUUUGCAAGGAAAAUCACAGCUUUUGAUAUGCAAAGAAUUAUAGAAUUUGAUAAGACUUGAAGGUGAGCUACCUAGAGCCAGCAGUUGCCCAGCUGGUUUGCCACAGGGCAAUUUUUGCUAAUUACAUAUCUCUCAUUCCCUGAUCAGUCCAUUCUUCCACCCAUUAUUGCCCUAGCAGCUACUGUGGGAUAUUCUCAGAUAGAACAAAUAAUUUCCUAUUUUGGUCAAAAACAAAGGUUAUUCAGCAAUAGAGGAAAGCAAGGUUUCUACCCAGCUGCCACAACGCAUUUCCAAGAGCUCGUCUUCCCCCCAAAAACCCACCUUUUACUCUGCAUGCCUCACCAUCCAAAAGCUGAUCUCCAGGUUAUGUCAUCUAAUACAUAGCAGCCACAGUUUUCCUCUCAAUCCCCUGUAUUAACUUAACCCAAUAAUUAGAAAGUAGGGGAAAAAAAAUGUCAAAUUUUCUUUUCUUGCUGAAAAAACACAUGCACGGAUGCUUCUUUCACCAAAUAUUUACACUGAGCCUUCAAUGACACCAUUCCUUUUAUCAAACUCUAAUUUUAAAAGCAUUUAGCACAGAGGAGUAAAUGUAGGUUUUCUACGUGGGGUUAAAAUCUUCAUAGGGGUUUAAAACCACUGCCUACACAGUGGGCUUUAGGUGCUCUGAUUUUUGCAAUAGUGCUCAAGCAUUGCUUCAAAAUGACUACUGAAAGCUGGGGGAAAUCAAAUAAUUCUGAUGUAUUAGCUGAAUUAUAAAGCAGUAACAGAGGGCACUGUAAUUGAAUGUAUGGAGAUGAUGAACAUUUGAACUCACACAGCAUAAGUCUUUUAUUUUAAAAUAAUCCAUAAACUGCUUUAGCAAUUCUCUAAAAGCAUAUAAAGAUACAGACAAUUCAUUUAAAAUGGCACUUUCAAUACAGUCUAAAAUCACAGAUUUUAAAAUGAUAAAAAAAUAUAUAUGUGUGAUACUAAAAAUAUUCAGUGCUUCUGAAUUAAAGCAUUUUUUCACUGGCUCUGCUAUAGUGAUUUCUGUUGCUUAUAUCUUGAUUUUCCUUGGGAAAUUGCAGCCAGAACUACUCUGAGCUCAUAGUUCUGGUCUAUUCAUAGAAUCAUAAAAUGGGUUGGGUUGGAAGGGACCUCAAGGAUCACCAAGCUCCAACCCCCCUGGCAGCAGGCAGGGCCUCCAACCUCCUCGUUUAAUACUAGACCAGGCUGCCCAGGGCCCCAUCCAACCUGGCCUAAACCUAUUCCCAGUGAAGAGGUUCAAAUAUGCGAAGGAAUCCUGUCUUUUAAAGAAUUGUUUUUGAUAGAAGGCUCUUAAAUGAACCAAUUAUCAGAGUGUAUUUCCUAUCUAAGCUGAAAUGCAAGAAGGUCCAGCUAGAAGUAACACAGAUGUAGGAAAUCACUGUUGCAAAACUCAAUAUAAAAAUUCAAAACCUUAAGAAAAUUGGAGGAUUUGGCCAAAUCUCUUGAGUAGCGUGUUGGACCAGCUCAGCCUUACCCUUGGUACUCCUAAGCUCCAAGUGUGUGCCUGAGUGGCCCGAUCAGGAUUCCCUGUGUGUGACAUGGGACACUGGGGACAUCCUCACUUCAUCUGUUGGGUGCUGAAGUUGGCCAGGAUCUUUUGCACUUUGCCUUGGUUGCACUUACCACAGUGAGCUCAUUAGCUGCAUGCACAAAUCCCAGCAUGCACAGCCACUCACCCAGCUCUGCCUGCUUUGUGUCCUGCAGGAAAUUCAGAAGGGAAUUGUUUCAAGAGGGUGUGCUGUGAUCGCUGUUUCUUCUGGUGUCACACUGAAAGGAAUACAAGAUUUUAGGCCAAGCCAUAAUGGUUGCAGUGGAGAGCUCCUGGAAGAGCAUGGUUUCUGCGUGCCGAUUUCUGCUGCCAUCAGACACAUGGUAAAUCCUGAAACUGCUGCAGGUUGGAAGCUGUCCCAGGCAGGGCACAAAAGGGAGACUGGGAAUCACAGGCUGGAAUCAAAACCCCUACAUUUAGUGACAAAUCUUGGACAGAAACUCAAGCCUCAGAAGACAGAGGAGCUCUGCUGGUAUUAUCUGGUAAUGUGAAGCUAACUACAGAUAAGAAGGCUCUCUGUGUCCAGAAAAGAAGCCAUUGGAUUGGAUUAUAUCAGACUGAGACAUGAAGGAUUAGUGAACAGGCAGCCUGACAGCACUGCUUUGUUUGUUACAUGCAUCCAAACCAGCGUGUUUGUAAAUGAAACGUGCAAUUUGGAGAUGAGUCAUUAAGGAUGGCUUUGGGGAUGUCUGGAUGCCCAGAGCUGGGGUUUUGACACCUGUGAACCUGUAAAGAUGCAAUUUUUCUUUUUCAAAUCCUUUGUAACAUCUUCCUUAAUCUUUUGCACAAUUCUCCUCCCAGACCUGGAAGUCUGAAUGGAAACGACAACUUGCUCCUCUUCUGGCUAACUAGGACCAGAGCACAGAAGUUUCCUAAGGGAAAAAAUGAUGAGCUGGCUUCCCCCACAUCUGUUGUGUUUGUCUCCAUUUUUGCUCUUUUACUGUCUAAUCUGCUCUACUGAACUGCCAAUCAUCUCCCGGGGAUGCUUUCUCUGCUUGACAGCCAGUAAGGCCAUCUGAUUUCAGGCCUCCUUGAGUGUGUGUGCUUGCAGGCCCUGGGGCUGAGAUGCACAGUCUGGAGGCUGGGCCUGGGCAGAAGGUGGCUGCUCAAAGAGUGCCCUGCAGUGAUUCCCACCUUCAUUACCACUGUGCAGCUGUUUCAGAGCUCAGAGAGGUUCAAGGAUAAUGGAGGAGCAUUGCCCUCCUUCUGCUGACCUAUUUCCCCACCUUGCUCAGCUCUGGAGGAGCUCGUGGCCAACUUGCCUCUGGUUCACCUCCAUCAACUCCAUUUAUUUCAGGAUGUUAGGUUGCUGCACAUGGAACCCUCAGUGAUGGAAAGAUCACAUGACUUUCCUUUACUCAGAGACAUGAUUUUAUCUUAUCUGCCACUGUGUCAGAUUUUCAUACUUUAUUCUAUAAUAGUGGGUGAGUGUGGGCCCCUACAGUUCCCAGAAUUCCCAGCAGCUUUAUAAGAAGAAAAUAACUGGACAGAACAAAUUCCCUUUAACUUCAGUGAAAAUGGGCCCAGACUGAUAAUUCUGAGGUAGAGAGAUUCGAAGCACCUAUUCUUUGCUGUUUUAUUUUUUAAAGUAUUUUAUUCUGAAGCAGCGGAUGUUACUUUCAUGGCAGGAAGCAUUAUAAGAACACUAAAAGGGUUAGGAACUUAGCUAGACCUGAGGAGAUUUAAAAGCCCUAUUCCUCUGUACAGCUCUAUCAUACCACAUUUCCUUCUCCAUCCCAUAAAACACUAACUUCUAUAAUUGCCUAAUUCUCGUACAUUUGCGAAGUAAUCAAUAGAAUGAAAAAGCUUCUGUUCAUGUGCCUCGGGAAUGCUGAUAUUACAUAAAAAUAGGUGCAAAUCAAACAUACGUCUCAAGCUCCUAAAGUGACAUGGAGCCACAUUCAAUUCCUGCACUACAAGCUACUGAGGCUACAAAAUGUAGUAGAAAUGCAGAGCACAAAGGAGAAGCAUGCCAGCCUCUUUAGAAAGCUGUGCCUAUCAUUGGCAAUGGCUGGUUGGCAUUCAUGUCUCUCAGUCCUUUGACUGAUUUGUUUCUGAGGUGUAACGGCUGCCUACGGGUUGUACCUACACUAGUGAAUCCAAUGUGACACACAGCCAGAACAUUGCAGUACACUGCUUCUUGUACUAAUAAAUAUUUAAGCACGCAACCUAAGUGCUUCUUCAGCAUCAGUUCCUUCUCUGCUGCAAGUGGCAUAUAGCAACUAGCAAACCGCUGUUCAAAAAGGAAAAUAAAAAAGGCCACUGAUAAGCUUCUGAUAAUGGAUAAUGUAUUUGAUCGGUUUUUGUUUGUAAAGUUUUGUUUUUGUUAAAUAAAGUUCCAUGAGCCUUUUGUGUGUGGA